rnacentral:rRNA from 1 species
CAAGUCGAGCGGGGAAGGGUAGCUUGCUACCUGACCUAGCGGCGGACGGGUGAGUAAUGCUUAGGAAUCUGCCUAUUAGUGGGGGACAACAUUCCGAAAGGAAUGCUAAUACCGCAUACGCCCUACGGGGGAAAGCAGGGGAUCUUCGGACCUUGCGCUAAUAGAUGAGCCUAAGUCAGAUUAGCUAGUUGGUGGGGUAAAGGCCUACCAAGGCGACGAUCUGUAGCGGGUCUGAGAGGAUGAUCCGCCACACUGGGACUGAGACACGGCCCAGACUCCUACGGGAGGCAGCAGUGGGGAAUAUUGGACAAUGGGCGAAAGCCUGAUCCAGCCAUGCCGCGUGUGUGAAGAAGGCCUUUUGGUUGUAAAGCACUUUAAGCGAGGAGGAGGCUACUUGGAUUAAUACUCUAGGAUAGUGGACGUUACUCGCAGAAUAAGCACCGGCUAACUCUGUGCCAGCAGCCGCGGUAAUACAGAGGGUGCGAGCGUUAAUCGGAUUUACUGGGCGUAAAGCGUGCGUAGGCGGCUUUUUAAGUCGGAUGUGAAAUCCCUGAGCUUAACUUAGGAAUUGCAUUCGAUACUGGGAAGCUAGAGUAUGGGAGAGGAUGGUAGAAUUCCAGGUGUAGCGGUGAAAUGCGUAGAGAUCUGGAGGAAUACCGAUGGCGAAGGCAGCCAUCUGGCCUAAUACUGACGCUGAGGUACGAAAGCAUGGGGAGCAAACAGGAUUAGAUACCCUGGUAGUCCAUGCCGUAAACGAUGUCUACUAGCCGUUGGGGCCUUUGAGGCUUUAGUGGCGCAGCUAACGCGAUAAGUAGACCGCCUGGGGAGUACGGUCGCAAGACUAAAACUCAAAUGAAUUGACGGGGGCCCGCACAAGCGGUGGAGCAUGUGGUUUAAUUCGAUGCAACGCGAAGAACCUUACCUGGUCUUGACAUAGUAAGAACUUUCCAGAGAUGGAUUGGUGCCUUCGGGAACUUACAUACAGGUGCUGCAUGGCUGUCGUCAGCUCGUGUCGUGAGAUGUUGGGUUAAGUCCCGCAACGAGCGCAACCCUUUUCCUUAUUUGCCAGCGGUUUAAGCCC